rnacentral:rRNA from 1 species
AGAGUUCGAUCCUGGCUCAGAACGAACGCUGGCGGCGCGUCUUAAGCAUGCAAGUCGGACGGCAAGGAGGAAGCUUGCUUCUUCCCUAGAGUGGCGGACUGGUGAGUAACACGUGGGUGAUGCACCUCCUGGACGGGGAUAGCCGGUAGAAAUACCGGGUAAUACCGGAUAAGGACGCUCCUAUAGAGGGGAGCGUGGAAAGGGGCCACGGCCCCGCCGGGAGAGCGGCCCGCGCACUAUUAGCUUGUUGGUGGGGUAACGGCCCACCAAGGCGACGAUAGUUAUCCGGCCUAAGAGGGUGGACGGACACAUUGGGACUGAGAUACGGCCCAGACUCCUACGGGAGGCAGCAGCUAAGAAUAUUCCGCAAUGGGGGAAACCCUGACGGAGCGACGCCGCGUGGACGAUGAAGGCCGGAAGGUUGUAAAGUCCUUUUGUCAGUGUGGAAUAAGCCGGGGAGGGAAUGCCCCGGCGAUGACUGUAGCUGACGAAUAAGCACCGGCUAAUUACGUGCCAGCAGCCGCGGUAACACGUAAGGUGCUAGCGUUGUUCGGAAUUAUUGGGCGUAAAGGGCAUGUAGGCGGAAAUGCAAGCUUGGUGUGAAAUCCCGGGGCUCAACUCCGGGACUGCGUUGAGAACUGCAUAACUAGAGUGACUGAGGGGCAGCCGGAAUUCCAGGUGUAGGGGUGAAAUCUGUAGAUAUCUGGAAGAACACCAAUGGCGAAGGCAGGCUGCCAGCAGAUCACUGACGCUGAGGUGCGAAGGUGCGGGGAGCAAACAGGAUUAGAUACCCUGGUAGUCCGCACAGUCAACGAUGCAC